AAAUAUCCAACAAUGAUAGACUGGAUUAAGAAAAUGUGGCACAUAUACACCACGGAAUACUAUGCAGCCAUAAAAAAUGAUGAGUUCAUGUCCUUUGUAGAGACAUGGAUGAAACUGGAAAUCAUCAUUCUCAGUAAACUAUCGCAAGAACAAAAAACCAAACACCACAUAUUCUCACUCAUAGGUGGGAAUUGAACAAUGAGAUCACAUGGACACAGGAAGGGGAAUAUCACACUCUGGGGACUGUUGUGGGGUUGGGGGAGGGGAGAGGGAUAGCAUUGGGAGAUAUACCUAAGGCUAGAUGAUGAGUUAGUGGGUGCAGCGCACCAGCAUGGCACAUGUAUACAUAUGUAACUAACCUGCACAAUGUGCACAUGUACCCUAAAACUUAAAGUAUAAUAAAAAAAAAAAGAAUGAAAUUAAGAUGAUUGGCUAAACCAGCGACUCCCAAAAUGUGGCCCCUGCAUCAGUAACAUCAGCACCACUUGGGAAUUAUUAGAAAUGCAAAUUAUUGAGCUUCAUCUCAGCCAAUAAAAUCAGAAACUCUGAGGGCGGGGCCCUGCAGUCUAUGGCUUAAUGGGCCCUCCAGGUGAUCCUGAUGCAACCAGAAGUUUAGAACCAGCCAAGUAGCUUAGAUUAAUAAACUUGCAUUUCUGGUGCUAUGGUUUGGAUGCAUGUCCCUCCAAAUCUUAUGCUGGAAUUUUAUCCCCAGUUUUGGAGAUGGGGCCUUGUGGAAGAUGUUUGGCUCAUAGGGAUGGAGCCCUCAUGAAUGUCUUGGUCUCAUCCUCAUGGUUAUGAGUGAAUUCUCAAUUCUCACUCUGUUAGUUCCCCCCAAGAGCUGAUUGUUUAAGAGACCUGACACCUUCCCAUUCUCUUUUGUUUCCUCUCUCACCAUGUGAUCAUUGCACACCUUGGCUCUCCUUCACCUUCCAACGUGAGUGAAAGCUUCCUGAAGCCCUCACCAGAAGCAGAUGCAGGAGCCAUGCUUCUUGUACAGCCUGCAGAACUAGGCAAAUGAACUGAUGAACCUGGCAGAUUUCCCAUCUUCAAACAAUGAUGGUUCAUGCUGACACUCUGUCCCUGGCUGCAGAGGGCACCUCUUUUUUUGUUCACCUGACAAAAAACAACAAUUGGAUUGGUCUCUCCCAGACCACGUGGUCCUCACAGGCUGCCCAUCAUGGGCCUCAACUCCCCUGACCACGUGGGACAGGCACAAGACCCACAGUACUCUGUUCAGACUCUCUCUCAGGCAUCUGAAAUUUCCAUGGAGACAGAAGGACAAAAGGACAGAGCUGUCUUUUCAACAAAUGUUGCUGGGAGAACUGGAUAUCUACUUGCCGAAGAAUGAAGUCAUACCCUUAUCUCACAGUAUCUACAAAAACUAGCUUAAAAUAGACUAAAGAGCUAAACGGAAAAGUUAAAAUUAUAAAACAUAAGGAGAAAGCUUCAUGGCAUUGGAUUUGGCAGUGAUUUCUUCUUUAUGACACUAAAAGCACAGGCGACAAAAGAAAAAAGACGGAAAUUGGACUCCAAAAUGAAGAAUUUUGCACAUCAAAAGGCACUGUAAACAGAGUAAAAAGACAACCUAUAGGCCGGGCGCGUGGGGCUCACGCCUGUAAUCCCAACACUUUGGGAAGCCGAGGCAGGUGGAUCAUGAAGUCAGGAGAUCGAGACCAUCCUGGCUAACACGGUGAAACCUUAAAAAUACAAAAACAAAAUGAGCCGGGCGUGGUGGCGGGCACCUGUAGUCCCAGCUACUAGAGAGGCUGAGGCGGGAGAAUGGCGUGAACCCAGGAGGCGGAGCUUGCAGCGAGCCGAGAUCGCGCCACUGCACUACAGAGCAAGACUCCGUCUCAAAAAAAAAAAAAAAAGAAAAGAAAAAAAGACAACCUAUAGAAUGCGAGAAAAUGUUUGUAAAUCAAAUUCCUAAUAAAAAAUUAAUAUUCAUAAUAUGUAAAGGACUCCUAUAACUCAACAACAACAAUUAAAAACUAGGCAAAGGACUUCAAUAGACAUUUCUCCAAAUAAGUUAUACAAAUGGCCAAUGAGCCCAGGAAGAGAUGUUCAGCAUCACUAAUCAUUAGGGAAAUGGAAACCAAAACCACAGUGAGAUCCCACCUCACACCCAUUAGGAUGGCUACUAUCAAACAAGCAGAGAAUAGCAGGUGUUGGUGAGGAUGUAGAGGGAUUGGAAGGAACUCUUGCGCAUUGCUGGUGGAAAUGUAAAAUGGUGCAGCUACUAUGGAAAGCAGCACAGAAGUUCCUCAAAAACUUAAAAAUAGAAUUACCAUAUGAUCCAGCAAUUUUGUUUCUAGGUGCAUACCCAAAGGAAUUGAAGGCUGGAACUCAAAGAGUUAUUUGUACACCUAUGUUUGCAACAGCAUCAUUUACAGUAGUGUGAAAAGAUCACCGUGGGCAUGUUAACAUUUUAAAGCAUUUAUGUGAGCAGACAAUGAUUCAUGAAUCUGGUAGCACCAAACUGCAAGUAGUUUGGGCUCCACCAAGAGGGUGUGAGGGGAAAAUUGUUAAAAGGUGAUCAUGAAAGCAAGACAAAGAAAAUAUUUGAUUGGCUAAGGCAGGAAGUCUCCAGUUAGAGGUCAGCUGGAGGUUUCUGAUUGGUAAAUUCUGUAGUGAGAGGUUAGUUAGCAGUUUCUGAAUGGUUAAGCUGGGGUUUCAUUUUCCCAGGCUAUGGUCACUCACACUGAAUGGGGUUUCAGUUUGCUUAUGUAGGAAUCCAAGGUGCUGGGUUCUCAGCCAAAUGGACUCCAAAUUAAUUGUUUUUAACAAUAGCCAAAAGGUUAAUCAGCUCAAAUGUCCACUGAUGGAAUGAGUCAAUUAAUUUGUUUACUUGUCCAUGAAUGAGUAAACAAAAUGUGGUAUAUACAUACAAUUAAAUAUUAUUCAGCCUUAAAAAGGAAGAAAAUUCUGACCCAUGCCAUAAUGUGGAUGAACUUUGAAGACAUUACGCUAAGUAAGAUAAGCCAGUCACAAAAAUAACAAACUCUGUGUGAUUCCCCUCAUAGGGGGUCCAUAGUCAAAUUCAUAGAAACAGAAUAGUGGUUGUGGGGGCUGGGCAGAGGGGGAGUCAUUGUCUAAUUUGUGGUGUUAAAUUAAGCUUAGCCUAAAGCUGACUGCUUACAUAUUUUAAGUUUAGCCUAAAGAUCCCUCCAUACAUGGUGAACUGUCUCCUAACUGGAUGUAUGAACAGAUUGUAACCUACUCUUGUACCAGUCACUGAGUUUCUGCAAAUCAAAGGUGACCAGACCCUGUUUAAAUACGGCAAACAUUGAGCUGUAGCCAAUACAGUAGUUUCUGCACCUCACUUCCAGUUUCUGUACAUUACUUUCCUUUUUCUGUCCAGCGAUCUUUGACCAUGCUGCAGCAACGGGGUCUCUCUGAACCUAUUCUGGUUUAGGAGACUGCCCAAUUCAUGAAUCUUUCUUUGUUCAAUUAAACUCUGUUAAAUUUAAUUUAUCUGAAGUCUUUAUUUUAACAAUUACAGAGUUUCAGUUUUGCAAAAUAUAAAGAGUUCUGUGGAUAGAUGGUGGUGAUGGUUUCACAACAAUGCAAUGGUAGUCAAUGCCACUGAUCCAUACCCUUAAACAGAGUGAAAAUUGUCAAUUUUAUAUUAUUUUAUCACAAUAAAAAGAAAAGGAGGUCAGAGCUGAGCCAUCAGGCAACAGCCUCCAGAGUGUUGCUCUGUCAUUGUGUGCUGUUGAAGCCCCCGGUGCUUCCCUGACCCCUCCAUGGCAGACCUGAAGGUUCGGCGCUCUUUUCUAGCCUGUGAGUGCCCCGUUAUGUUUACCAUCAAGUCCUCUUUCGGACGAAGUCACCCAGGGUAGGCUUCCUUUUGCCAAAGAGCAUUCCCUGAAAUGCCAGCAUUCUACAUAAAGUGGCUGCAGCUAUCUGCCUACCAGAGAGCCAUCCCCAAAUUGUUCUAUGGAAAAAAGAAUACCUGCCGUUUGCUUGCCACCCCUUAUGCACCCUGCUGCCACCUCGUUCCAGGGUCAUCCUAAGCCCUCCAGAAUGAAGAUUUAUUUGGCAGUACAUUCAUGUUUUUAUUUUGGUUUCUGUCUAAUAUUCUUUCCUAUUUUCAUUCCUGUAGUGGCAGGUACCACAGCUCAUGGGCCAGUAAAAGCUACCAAUUGCACCAGUCCUGAUUCCUGGGCAUGAUGUGAUAGUCUUCACUCAUCCUGUCUGGGAAACGGAGGUUCAAAAAUCAAACUUUGAAACAUUGCCUUGAAUGGGACAACAUAGACUCUGGCUCUGCUCCUCUAACAUCAUGGUCUCUGCUGAAUUAUGGAGGAAGGACCUCUGUUGUCUGCAAUAGAAAGCCUUGAGAUUCACGAUACUGGCUAGAGUACACUGAGCCAUACGGACACAAAUGCACUAUUUAGCAGGGAAAUUGAAUUGAAAUCCAAGUGCAUUUUUCAAGCUCUGGCGUACUGCGCUGCAGCAUUUCUCCUAAAUGAAUUGAACACAUUUUGGCCUUAGCUGCAUGCAAACAUGUCUAAAAAAAUCAAGUACACACCUGGCAGGCAGUGUGUUGGUUAAAAGGGUCUCAGGUCUCCUAGAAAUUGCCAUGCAAGAACCAGACUUUUUUCCAGCUGUAUGCAAAUUAACCAUCAGCAUCUUUAAACAAAGCAAAAUAUUAACUGAAAAAUCGAGUGUCUCAGCUACAACACAGAAUAGGUGUUCACAGAUUUUUGUUUAAUACAGGGCCCUCUUAAAAAGUCCCAUUUUUAUCUAUGAUGUAAUCCAGAGAAUGUGUAUGAUUUUUUUCCUCCCUACCUGUCCACCAAAAUCAAAUCAAAGGCCUUUUUCCUCAAGGAAGUUUCCACAUUACGCAACAGCCAACCAUGUCAAGAGCUGAUUUGCAGGCUGAGCUCAGUCACAUUAGGGACUUCUUCCUAUGCAAGCGGGGCUGUUGAAGUCAACAGUGAGAUUAGUAAGGGGGAGAGUCAUGCACCUGGAAACAAAAACCUGGACCCUCCUCGUAGCCCUGCAAAACGACGCUGACAGUGUGCAAGCUCUCCCUUCCCUGAGCCUCUCUGUCCUCCUCUGCAACCCUGCCUCAAGCGGUCAUUUUCAGGAUUGCACUGAAAAUCUGACAAAGCAGGAAGCUGAUAUGGUCUACAGAGGUACUGAAUUGAGGUAAACAGAAAUUUCAGAGGCCACCUCUGCAUGGAGAAGCUACAAGCAGAACCGUUCAGUGCAUCACCACCUCGGACCACACCUCCCCAAGUCAUCCAGACCCCAGAGCCGCCUUUUUCUGUUGUUUUGUUUUUUCUUUAGAGACAGAGUUUUGCUCUAUUGCUCAGGCUGGAGUGCAGUGGCAUGAUUAUGGCUCACUGCAGCCUUGAACUCCUGGGCUCAAGCCAUCCUCCCACCUCAGCUUCCUAAGUAGCUAAGGCUGCAGGCUCUCACCACCUUACCUGGCUAAUUUCUUUUCUUCCUUUUUUUUUUUUUUUCUUUUCAUAGAGACAAGGUCUGGCUGUGUUGCCCAGGAUGAUCUCAAACCCCUGGCCUCAAGUGAUCCUCCCACCUUGACUUCCCAAAGUGCUGGGAUUACAGGCAUGAGCCACCGUGCCUGGCAAAGCCUCUUGGCCAAAAUCCCCACUCCAGUGGCUGCCAAGAAGCUGGUCUCAAAAAUCCUAUCUGUUCAAUGGAUGAAAAAUCCAGCUUCCUUAUACAAUGGAAUACUACAUGACAAUGAAAAGGAACAAUGCACUGAUGCACGCAGCAACGUGGAGGAAUUUCACAGCCAUUGUGAUAAGCAAAACAAGACAGACACAAAAGACAUGCUAUAGGGAUUCCAUUGAUUGGGCAUGCUAGAAAAGGCUAAGCUAAUUUAGAGUUACAGAAAGCAGACUAAUGGUUGUUGGGGAUUGGGGCUUGACUGCAAAGGGACACAAGGGAAACUUUUUUGGACACUGGAUAUAUUCUAAAUUUCAAUUGUGAUAGCAGAUAUACAAAUGUAUAUAACUUGGUCAAAACUCAAUGAACUAUACAACUUACCGUGAAUUGUGCAGUGUGUGUUAUAUAAACUAUGCCUCAAUAAAGUCAACAAGAAGAAUCCUGUCAGGAUGACUAAGACUUUCUAUGUGAAAACCCCCUUUCUAUGUGUUCCUCUUUAAAUACAUGCCCCCUUGUUCUCUCUGAGGGCAUAGAUAGUUUUGCUGCCACUUAAACCUGAAUUAUAGUUAUCCUCAUCACAAAAUGUUGUCUGAGAAAAAUAUGUAGGCUCUGCACUUACUUUCUGUGUGACUUUGAGUAUAAUACUUCACCUCUCUGUGAUUCAGUUUCCACAUGUGUACUAUGGAAACAGCAGUACAAAGAGGGCUCAGCAACACAGCUUACACAAGAGAGCCCAGCCCAGAGCUGGGUAUAUGCUGUGUGCUCAAUAAACCCUGGUUUCCCAUCUUCAUGCCAUCAGUUAUGGCUCUUUAGAUUCCAUAUAACAGAACAUCUGGCCCAAUUUAUUCAGAGGUGAGACUAAUGGCAGAAGAGCCCAGAGAUUGUACUGACUCCAGAAGGUCAGCAUCGAGGCCAGGCACUGGAUUUCUCUCCCUCUCUCUGCCAUGCACUUGGGUAUGUCAGCAUAAUCCUCUGGCCCCAUGUGCUGCACUCCCUCCCAGCAGCACCCACCUCUCCCUUUGGGCCUCCAGAGCUCUCUGCCUCCCAUGCCAUCCUGAAGGCCCUCUCUCUGUCCCCAGUUGGAACACAUGCCUUUUGUCUUAGCCAAGAACUGCAGCUAUGGGCACGUAACAUGCUAGUAGGAUUAAGCAAAUCAUUCUGGAGCUGAAAUCUGGAUUCUAUGCUCUCCAACCAAGUGGCUGCUACAAACUGGGGUACAAGUGACUGCUUCUCUCAGCAGAAGAAGGGGAGUAAUGAUAUGGGAAGAUAAUCAACGAAUGUCCAUUGAACACAUUCUGUCUGUCAGGGAGUUCAUCAGGAAACAGAAAAUACAGAAGUUAUUUUAACAGAGGAUUUAAUCUAAAGAAUUGUUUAAACAGGUGACAGAACACUGAAGCCAUCACAGUGUAGCAACUGCAGGAAUCAGCUACCAUUCCUAAUACCAGGGGAAUGAAGAGGAGAGGCUGGGAUUAUGAAAUCGGAGAGACUCGGGGAAAAGAGAGCACUUUUUGGCUGGUGCUCCUGGCCCUGAGCUUAGAGGAGAGGCCCUUUGGUUCCAGGACCCAGAACCCCGAGGAGAGGUGCUGGGAUCUCUAAAGGGGUGUAAUGGGGCUGAAUCAGGGUGUGUGGAAAAAACCUAGCUCUUGGAUGAAGAAGCAAGGCUGUAGUGAUGCCAACAAGAAUAAGAUGCAGACAGGAAGGGACAUGUCUCUCCUUCUGCUUUCAGUCUUUCCUCCCUCCCUGGGUCUGCAUUAGAGCCAGCUGGCAAAGCACAAAUGUGGCUUACAGAGUCAUAGAAUCACAAAGCAUUGCACAAAAAAAUUGGGUUUGGAGCAGACAGACGAUUACUUAACAACUAGCCCCCAAACUAUUCCACAAUCAGGGUAUCAGUGAGGACAUUUUCGCUGCAAGAAGUAGUAACUCCAACUUAAUUAGCUUAAGCAAUGAAAACAUUUUCUUCCCCAGGAAGAGCUACUCCAGAUUUGCUUAAUAAUUCAACUGUUCAACAUUGCUGUUAAGGACAACGUUUUUCCCAUCUUGGAGGAGAUGCUUCUUGGUUCUGGAACCCAGAACACUAAGGGGGAGUGCUGGGGUCCACACUGUGGAUAUGUGUGUGGAUAUAUCACAUAUGUGGAUAUGCAUAUAGGCACCUCAGGGGAUUUGCUGUCAUGCAUAUACAUAUAUACUAUAUGUGUAUAUAUAUAUGCUGUAUAUAUGGGUGUGUAUAUAUAGAAAGAAAAUUUAUUUUAUUUUUUAAUUUUUAUUUUUAGUUCUGGGGUACACAUGCAGGAUGUGCAGGUUUGUUACAUAGGUAAAUGUGUGCCGUGGUGGUUUGCUGCACCUAUCAAGCAAAUUCAUUAUAAAUAUACUGACAUAAAGGAUGUGUAGAGCAAAAUUUACAAAUGAUUAUAAAUUUUACAAUACUCCUUAUUCUAAGUUUCAUAUAGGCAACUGGUUCUCACAGGAUACUUUCAUUGAUUUUUGCCAAACUCUUGGAUUCUUAGCCAACCUAUGGUUGCAACUGAUCAAGUUUAGUUCAGGCAUCACCUUGCUUGAUGUAGUAAGACAAACUGAAACCAUAAAGAUGUAUGUGUGAACUUCACUUAUUAGCCAAUAACAUGAGCAUCUCCCAUAAUUGAGCUAAAAAAAAAAUCUCUAUCUGGAGCCCUCUUUCCACCGGGGUGAUUGAAUGUUUAUCUUAGUUAAUUCGAAGUUUACCUACCUCCUCAUUUUCUAGGGAUUACAUCUAAUUUCCAGGACAUAGUGGGAGGGCCCCUGUGAUCUUGCGACAGUUCAAAGAGCUCACUGGUUACAUAGUUGCUCAUCCGUCUGUCAGUACUUGUGUUUACACAUCCCUCAUUCCUGUCCGUGGGACACUUUGGAUCUGCUAGCUGUUUUCAUAUCCCACACUGAGAGCCCAAGAAUCUCCAUGAAGCGAAGUCCCCAUCUCCCAAGACUCAUCACCAUGCUCUGUCAGGGAAGCAGGAUGCAGAUUCCUUCUCCGUGGAGCACAUUAAUAUCUGAGUUUUCCACGUUUUCCCUCUGCUCUCCUCUUCCUUCAGCCUGAUGAAAUCAUUUCCAUUCUGUGGGAGCAGUAAAUCCUGACAUGCCUUAAACGCCCUGAUCCAGUUUAGCUGAGAGUGCAAGGGAAACUGGCUCACUCUUUGAAGAAAAAUAAAGCUGAAUUCCUACCUCUCAUACCGCAUACAAACUCUAGACAGAUUUUAGAUUACAUUUUACCUUCUAGAUGAAUGAAAGACCUGAAUGUGAGGUGUAAACUAUACAACGAAAGCAUUAAACAUUAGAGCAAACCUUUUAAGCCCAGUGUUGAGGGAGACCUUCUCUAAUAAGACGUCAAAAGGCCAAAACAAAAGAAAAACAAAUUAAUGGAUUUAAUUACACCGAUGUUCGAGAUAAUCUGUUCAACAAAAGUACACUGGAGACAAAACUAACAGGAGGAUGACAGGUUGGGGGAAGAUAUUAGCAAUGUUUUUGGCAGACUGGGAACACUUACAAAGAUAUAAAGAAAGGAAAAAAGGCAACAAACAUAAAGAAGUGCUAAUAAGUAGAGGAGAAGAUUCUCAAAUUUUUUAAUAACCAAAGAAAUACAAAUUAAAAUGACAAUAUAGCACUUUAUUCCCAUUAGAUUGGCAAAACUUAGAAAGAAGAAUAACACCAGGUCUUGGUGAGAUAUGAAAAAAACAGGAGCAUUUUUGCACACUGGUGAUGAGUUAUACAAUGACAUCAUUCUGGAAAGUCCUCUGACAGUGCUAUCUAAAUUAGACAGGCAGGUAUCUACAGAAAUUUCACCCUUGGAUAUGUUUCUGGAGUCCUUAUUAAACAAGACCAUAAUUGGAUAUACGUUAAUAAGUUUUUGCAGGGUUUAUGGUACUGAGAAGUACCACAACACAUCCUAGGUAGUAGAUAAGUAAAAUGCAUCCUAGGUAGUAGGUAAGUAAAACGUGGUGGCUCUACUCCAGGGAAUUUUAUCAGGAGUUAGAAAGAACAAACUAGAUCUAUACAAAACAACAUAAACAGAUCCCAAGCACUCAGAAGUGAGUGACAAGUGAGAAAGCAAAUGGGAUCUCCAAAAGAAUACCAUUUUUAUAACUUAAAACCAUAGGCCCAAAGCAUUACAUAUUCUGCAAAGAUAUUUUGUAACGUGUUAGAGCUGUUGCCUACAGAGGACAGGAAAACAGAAAUGGAGGGCGGGAAUAAAGUGAAUGAUUUCUUUCAAACAUCUUGUCUCCAUUCAGACUUUCUCCAUCCCCCUAAGGAUUCAGAUGUAUUGACCCUAGAGUUCUGAGUCUAGAGCCUUUCUUUCUGCCUUGAUGCAGCUUAUCAUUGAGAAAAUUAGCCCAGAACAGCUCAGCCAUUUGAUGAGGAAGGAGAGGAAUAGCAAAGGGAGUUGGGGGUUGGAUCAGUUAAUCAGCUAACCAGCCAAAAUCUCGAUAUAUUAUCCCUCCACGAAUGUUUCAGGGUUCUUGGUGAGAGUUUUCAAAUCCAUAACAAAAUAACCAGAAAAAGAAUGUCUACUCUGUGUUGCAAUUUGCCUAUGACUUGGAUGAGUCUGUUUCAAAUGACCCUCCGUGAGGACUGCCACAUUCAGUUGUGCAGCCUGUGCACUGCACAAAGGUGCUCCUGCCCAGGGGAGCAGGAGGAAGCUGGAAUUCACCAGGGACUCUGCUUACGAGCUGGGCCUGCCUGGGCCUCUUUCAAUCAUAGCCUGGGGCUCUUUCAAUCUUAGAGAGGAGCCUCAGGAGGUCAGCUGUAACUUGUCUGCCAGAAAGGGUAACCUUGCGAAAUUCCUACAAUGGUGCUGUAUGUACUUGCUGGAGCCCUGACUUAGUUUACCCUCAGCCUCCCCAUGUCUCAGUCUGGUCAACAUCCUUAUCAGAAAUUCACACUAGCUUCCUUUACAAUCUGCCUUUAGGACAGUCCUGAGGCAAAUUUCACUUGUUCUUCCCUCUGCCUGGAAUGCUCUUCCCCAGAUAGCCACACGGCUCACUCUCUUCCUUCACUCAGGCCUCUGCUCCAACAUCCCCUCUACAGAGAGGUCUUCCCUCCACAUCUCCUCUAAAAUAGGCCCCCAUCCUGCCUUGCUCUCACCUCUCAUCCCACAUUCUUCAUCCUGCUUAUCAC
rnacentral:lncRNA from 1 species